rnacentral:rRNA from 1 species
GACGAACGCUGGCGGCGCGCCUAACACAUGCAAGUCGAACGGAGUUAUUCCGAAUGAAGUUUUCGGAUGGAUUUUGGAAUAACUUAGUGGCGAACGGGUGAGUAACGCGUGAGUAACCUGCCCUGGAGUGGGGGACAACAGUUGGAAACGACUGCUAAUACCGCAUAAGCCCACGAUCCGGCAUCGGAUUGGGGGAAAAGGAUUUAUUCGCUUCAGGAUGGACUCGCGUCCAAUUAGCUAGUUGGUGAGGUAACGGCCCACCAAGGCGACGAUUGGUAGCCGGACUGAGAGGUUGAACGGCCACAUUGGGACUGAGACACGGCCCAGACUCCUACGGGAGGCAGCAGUGGGGGAUAUUGCACAAUGGGGGAAACCCUGAUGCAGCGACGCCGCGUGGAGGAAGAAGGUUUUCGGAUUGUAAACUCCUGUCGUUAGGG